rnacentral:rRNA from 1 species
GGUAGAGCGGCAACCCCUGACAGUGGCGAACGGGUGAGUAAUGCAUCGGACGUGCCCAGUGGUGGGGGAUAGCGCGGCGAAAGCCGGAUUACUACCGCAUGAGACCUGAGCGUGAAAGCGCGGGACUCGCAAGAGCCUCGCGCUACUGGAGCCGCCGAUGUCAGAUUAGCUAGUUGGUGGGGUAAAGGC